UUGUUGUAGCUAUGUUAUUACCCAAGCUAAAAACAUACACAAUAAUGUGUCUGUAUUUUAUUUUUUACAGCUUUUUAACACAUUGCGUGCUGAGCCUUUACCAGAUUUGCCACUCACUGGGAAUAAAGACAUGUGCACCACAACACAGGCAUCCAAAACUGAGGGAGUGGAAUCGCAAGCAAUCACCAGAAAUCCACUAUCAACCAAAGAAAAACAGAAGGUGUGUGUAAAAACAGUAGAAUUUCAGAUCAUUUAUGUCAAUUGCACCUUGAUUUUAUUCUAACACCUCCAUCAUAUCACAUUUUCACCUGUUAGGAGACUUUAAUCACCUCAGACUUGGACCUUAAAGCUCCACCGAAAGGCACAGGAAAAUGCAAAAAAGAAAAGCCUCCCAGCACAAAGAAAAUCAGGAAAGAGGCCUUUGAUUGCUACAUGAAACUAUUAUAUGGCCUGUCUACCAAUUAUAAGAUUGAUCUGGAAGACACCUUUGAUCCAAAUAAAUCUUCAGUUUAUCCUGUGCCAGUUGACAUCAGACCGUGUGAACUUCCCACCCUAAAAGAAGACAUGCAGCCUCAAUCGACGAUGAAGUUUCCUGUGAGUGUGAAGAAAAAGAAGAAGGAAAAGGCUUCCCCAAUGGCAACCCAAAUGAAAGUCAAACCGCCACCUGUUGAAAAACUUAAGACACCUGACACAGAGAUUAUUUCUCCAAUAGAGGAACCCAAACCCAGAACUACUCCACCACAUCUUCAUCCAAGCACUCCUACUCCACCACAGCACCUUCAUAGGACCCCUUCACCACCACACCCUCAACCAAGCACUCCUACUCCGCGUCUCCGUCACAGAACUCCAACACCACUUACAUUUAGAGAACCCUCCCCUCAAGUGGCAACCUUCCUCAGACAGUUUGAAGGGAUGGGAUGGUUUACUGACUUGUACCCUAAUAAAAAGAGCAUUCCAAGCUACCUGUCUCCGGACAGCUUCUCCUUGCUGCUACUGAACCAUCUGCAAACAUGCAACAUCCUAUCCAGGCCAAAGCUCCUGGCUGCAGUGCAGGCCCUGCACAACCAGGGACUCUUAAAGGACACAGAGAAGGUUCAUCGAGGUCUCAUGGACUGUGUACACAAAUUUGCCAGACCUCAUAUGUCACCACUGGAAAGGACUGUGCUUGUUGAUAUUUUGAAACUGUUGCUGCAUCUGAAGUCUGACAGUGCUGAGCUCAUGAAAACUCUUCUAACUCUACUAGCCUAUAAAGACCUGGACCUCCGGU
rnacentral:lncRNA from 1 species